GGAUGCAGAAGAAUAGAGCCCCAGGCUGCACAGUGCAGGGUGAAGACUAUGGUAUAUUUAAUUAUACAUGUUUAAGGCUGUUUUACCCUGCACUGUGUAGCCUGUGGCUCUAUACUUGUGGAUUUAU